rnacentral:rRNA from 1 species
UACGUAGGUCCCGAGCGUUGUCCGGAUUUAUUGGGCGUAAAGCGAGCGCAGGUGGUUUAUUAAGUCUGGUGUAAAAGGCAGUGGCUCAACCAUUGUAUGCAUUGGAAACUGGUAGACUUGAGUGCAGGAGAGGAGAGUGGAAUUCCAUGUGUAACGGUGAAAUGCGUAGAUAUAUGGAGGAACAUCGGUGGCGAAAGCGGCUCUCUGGCCUGUAACUGACACUGAGGCUCGAAAGCGUGGGGAGCAAACAGG